GACAGUUUGGGACAGUAGUGACUGCGAUUUGCGGUUACUUAGACGAUGAAGACUAAACGCCUGCGUUUAAAGUCUUUCCGCUAUUUUAAAGUCUGUCAAUAGGACAACUUGCCGUUCUUCUUUCGUCUCAAUUCAUCAAUUCAUUAGAAAGUCACAGUCGGUGUCUCUAGGUUUAUUUUGUUAACCGUCGUCGCUGUCAGUCUGGUGGGUGUGGUUUAUAACACAUCGAAGAAUAUUAAUAUCCAUCGAAAUCAAAUUUCGCUAGAAUCUACAACAGUAUGAAGAGCUCUUCAAAUACCGUUUUGUUUAUAUUACUACUGUCCGGAGUGUUUGGUGUUGCAGAUGAAGUGAAGACAGUGUCAGUGAUGGAGGGAGAAUCUGUCACACUAAACACUGAUCCUUCUAAAACACAGACAUUUAAUCUGAUAGAGUGGAGGUUUGGAGCGUCAGGUUCAGUCAUUGCUGAUACUGAUAAAACUAAAAGCUCAUAUCCCUAUCUCACUGAGAUAUUCGAAGGCAGACUGCAUAUUGAUGGUCAUAAUGGAUCUCUGACCAUCAAGAACAUGAGAAUCAAACACUCUGGACUUUAUAAACUAGUGAUCAUCUGCAACUCUGAUACCAUUUAUACAACGUUCAGUGUUACUGUCUCUGAGUCUCCAACGGAUGCUGAUAUUGAUUCUGGUGAAGCUGAAAUGAAGACUGUGUCAGUGAAUGAUGUUGUCAUUCUUCGGACUGAUGUUAAUGAAACACACGGAGAUGAGCUGAUAGUGUGGAGGUUUGAAAGAAAACUCAUAGCUAAAUGUGAUAUAGAGGCCGAUGGCCUAACAAAAGAUAAGGAUGAGAGAUUCAGAGACAGACUGAAGCUGGAUAAUCAGACCGGAUUUCUGACCAUCACAGACAUCAGAACCACAGACUCUGGAGUUUAUACAGUGAAGAUCAACAGCAACAAACAGACAUUAUACAAGAAAUUCAAUGUUACUGUCAGUGGUCUGUCUUCGGGUGCUAAAGCAGGAAUAGUUUUUUUUGUUCUGCUGGUGUUUUCAGCUGCAGCUGGGGUUUUUCACUAUCGUCACAUAAUCUGCUCUCCAAAAUGUUUAGGGGAUGAGGAGUCCUCUACACAGGAAUCAAAGCCGUAAACCAUUAAGAUGGCGCUGCACUUGUGUUUUUUUACGAUUUGAUGCUUCCGGUUAAUACUGAGUGAGUUGGUUUAUCUCAUCAUAUCUGCACUGGAGAGACGUUGGAGAGCGGGAAGGGAGGGAAGGCCUGGAAAUGAGAACAGAGGUUGCUAUAUUUCUGCUCAAUGUGUGAGUAACAUUGUUUUUUUGCUGUUUCACAGAUGAAAGAUAUGCUGUUGUUUUUUAAUCACAGUUGAUUUAGCCAUACUGUACUUGGUCAAGCUGUAGUUGUUGCCUGUGUUGCAGUGAUUUGUGAGCAUUGAAGGGAGGGGUGUGUUUGAUUGUGUGUCGGUUUUACAAAUUAUCAAUGGUAUUUCUCAGAAAUCUCUUAUUGCACCUUUAAAUGAAUAGCUGACCCAAAAA